rnacentral:lncRNA from 1 species
GCUUAAAAUUGUUUUUCAUCAGAAACAUGUUGGCCCUGUAAAAAAACAAAUGUCAAAUCGCUUUACUAAUUGCGUCGCCUUUCCUUUGCGGAUCCAUGGGGUUUUUGUUUUGGUUACAAGAAGUGCUUCUUUGCUCGCUUGCAGCGCCUCGACUCGAGUUUCCGCUGUAGGAUUGAGUGAGGUGACGAGAGCUGAAGCCAAGGUUCCUUGCUACGCUCCAUAGAUGUUCGUACGAUUCUUGUGGAUUUUGGGUGUGAUGUGAGAAACUUGUUUAAUUAUGAGAUUUUAAUUGGCAUUUUCCCUCAUUUGAUUCUCCACUAUGUCCCUUUAUUUUUGGCUUUUUCUUAUUUGGUUAUAUUGGAUUCUCCACUAAUAAACUAAAAUGGUAAUGUUUCAAUUCUCUCAAAAUGUUUGAGCUGAUAUAUUUCAUAAGACAGCAAUAGUGGGUAUCAAACUUAUGAAUAUAUCACAAGAAUGGAAUCCAUAUAUUUUUAACUCUAAAUACAACUUCAAUUAUCUUUUAUGUAACUUUGGGGUAGUGCGAUAGCUGGUUUGGAUGUGAGUUGCGUUAUACAUGUAUUUAAGUAUUAUAUAAAUAAUAUCACAUUUGUUAACUAAUUAGGAAGUAAAUUAUCUAUGUAUAAAAUUAAUACGAAUGCAUGAAUGAAUUAUGAGGAAAUAUAUGUAUUAUUUUAUAUAAGAUGCAAGGAGAAAUAACUAAUAUAUGAAUAUUUAAUUCAUAUAUAAAACAAUAUAUAAAUUUUUCAUAAGUAAUCCUUAUAUUAUUAAUACAUGUAUAAUUUUUGCCAACUACCAAAUUACCCCUAUAGUACAAGUUGAAUCUCAAUUUCUCUAUGUACUAUUUUUUUAUAUUUUGAAUUUCUUUGAUCAAAUAUGUCUUGAAUUUCAUGAGCUUGGUUCAAAAAAAACCUUUUAGUAAGGAGCGUUUUCCACCAUCGUAGUGCUUUGUCCAAUGCAAUUAUAUUCAAAUUAAUCAAGCUCAAUAAAUUAGUAGUAUCAAAUGGUUAAAGAAAGGGUCAAGUUCAACUUAACAAAAAUGGUGAAUCUUCACGUCAAUAGUCAGACAUAUUUAUUAUGUAUAUUAUUUUUAAUCAAUAUACAUAUAUUAUACAUUAAAUAUACAUAAUCAUACACAUAUUAUAUAUGGAUUUAUAAAUAUAUUAUACAUUUAUCAACUAUUUUUAGAGUACACACUCACAGUCACUACAGUACUAGGGCUGUGCACACAAGAAGGUCACUGUUCCAAAAUUAUUUCUGUUUUUGAAAUCUUUUUCAAAUCAUCAAAUGUAUGUAAGUCCAUUUGAAUAGUUACAAUAUAUGGUAUCACCAAAUCAGUACGUGUUAUUUGUCUCCGAGGAUAUCUUUUUGUGAUUGACCUCAUUAUUUGUUCUCUUCUCCCCCCUCAAAAGAAGAUGUGACAUUUAAAAAUUCUUCCAAUUCUUUCAUUCUGCACAUUAAUUUUCACUUAUUUAUGUUAAGAUUUUAUAAGAAAAUACUUAAAUUUUGUAUUAAGAAAACAUGUCUUUUGUAUCUUAGUUACUUUUUUAGAAAAACUAUGUAAGUAUAUAACUUAUUCUAUCAUAUUCUUUAAAAAAAUUUACUAUUUGAAAAAUUAUAGAAGUUCUUACGCUCUCAUUUUCUUAGAUACAUCACUCUUACGCAAUGUAUUGGAACAAGUGUGUAUUGUAUCAACAAAGAUAAUAUAUCGGGACGCAAUGUAUCGCGACGUUGAGCGAUAUAUCGGGAAAAGUGUGUCUUGUAUCAACAAAGGUAAUGUAUAGAGACACGAUGUAUUGGACGUUGAAUGACAUAUCUUAGACAGGAACGCGAUGUAUCAGAAUGUUGAGUGACGUAUUUGAAAUCGAAACGCAAUGUAGCAGGCGUUGAGUUGUAUUUGAAUCUGGGGAGUGAUGUAUUGAAACGUCGAAUGAUGUAUCAGAAAUCCUUCAAUUUUAAGAAAUUUUGUAAUUUGUAAAAGAACAUAGAUAUGAUUGCGUAAUUUUUUUUUCUUCCUGAAUCUUUAUUAUAAGAGCAAUCCAACAUUUACAUAUGAAUUCAGCCCAAUUAAUUGGGCUGAUAAACAGGCCCAUCGCACAAAACUGCUACAUCCACAAGUCUAUUGAUGAAUGACCAACACAACAUGUCAACCACUAAUCCAAGGACCUUGUUAGAAGAAGACUGCAAUAGAAUAAUAUAUGCAAUAAAUAAAUAAAUUGUUAUAUAGUUUCAUCCCAGCUAAUUUGAUGUUGAAACAUAAUCAAUUAAUUGAUUAGUGGAUAUUAACAUACAGAGUGGUCAAUUUUGCAUUUCAUUCAUGGUUUUCUCAGUUUCUCAAUCACGACCUGUUCCUUUGAGCAUACGGUGUAAAUAAGGUAAAAUAAAGGGUUGUUUGGUAUAGGAGAUGAGAUAGAUAAAGUUAUCCCAAGGAUUAAUUUAACUCAUGAGAUUAGUAAUCUCAUAUGUGUGAACUUAUCCCAUCAUUAUUGUAUAAAUGAUGAAAUAAAUAAUCUUGAAAUUACUAUAUAACCCUAACCAAAUACAACAUAAAGUAAUCCUAAUUUUAUUUCAAAAUUAUUAUCCCUAACCUUCAUACUAAACGACCCCGAAAUCCUUGCCACAAGAGAAGUACGGGUUCAUAUUCCAAAUAUAACAUCAAUCAUGAAACAUGCCAAAUGACUUUAUAAAUCAUUGUCCAAUAACAGUUCUAGAGCUUACUUCAACCUAAACCAAUUUUUUUAUUCCUUAUAGUGCAGCCUCACAAAAAGGUAGUGUUAUUUGUCUGCAUUUUUGUGUUAAAUUAGGUGCCAAUUUAUUCCUUAACUUCACAUCAUGUCAACAUUAUCACUCAUGAUUACUUAAGCUUUUCAGAUAGUGACAACUUCUAACAAAAUAUUAGCAUCAUUCGGCCGUUUCUCAAUAUUUUAUAUACUUUUUUAAUCGGUGAUGUGAUGCUCACUUUAAUUUAUAAGUGCUAAUAUUAAAUUGAGAAAGAGUCAAGAGAAACCUUUGAAACAAGGUAAGGUUAUUAAUCAUUGACAGUGGGUCACAGAUUCAAGUCAUCGAAAUCAAUCAUUGAUACUUACCCAUUUUUUUUCCCUAAGGUUAAAUUGGUGUAAACACUCGAAGUAUUUGCCAUCAAAAAUCCUUAGCUAGUUAGCUUUAUUCCUACUCGUAAUUCCUAGGCAAUGAAUAAAUUUUUCCUUUUGUAAUAUACACUUGAACAUGGGAGAGUGAACUUUUAUCUUCCAAGAUCGUGAGAAUGCAGCAAACAAUUUCAUUCCCCCCUCUGAAGCAAGAUAAAGUGACAAGCAAGUCCAGCUAGUAUCAGUUUACAUGUGGAAAAAACCCCACACAAAUGAUUAAGUUUCAACACUUCUACAACAAAAAACAUAGCAAGUACAAGAAAAGAGUUUCUCAUAGCUCUCUGAAUUGUUUUCUUUUAUAUGAGAAGAGCCCCCAGACAAGCACAUUGUCACCUUAAAGAAAAGAGCCCAAAACUGAUCUUUUUAGCUUUCUUUCUUAAAGUGAAAGAUGACAUAGGACAAAUAAAAGCAAUGAAAAAAGACGAUAACAACAUACCCAUUGAAAUUUUACAAAGUGGAGGGAGUACGAAGUGGGUACGUCGUCCUUACCACUAUCUUUCAAAGUUAAAAAGAUACUGUUUCUGAAGGACGGCUCAUGGAAAUCAAAGCAAUAAUAACCAAAAAGGUAGUGGGCACAAACUUGUCAAUAAAAAUACUGUUUCUGAAGACCUAGACUCAAGAAAAUCAAAGCAAAAAAAGAAGGUAAUGGGCAGAAACAUAGCAAGGUUGUGUGGCACAUAUACGCAAGAAUCGUAAUAACAACAACAACAAAGUAAACCACAGAUAUCAAUGAGAAAGAUUUGGAUCUUGAAAUUCAAAUUGCAUUAGAUAAAUUCAGAUAUUUACAUCCAAAUUCAAGUAAAUAACCUAGGCUUAAAAAGCAAGCUAAAGAAUUGCAAAUUAGAUAGCAACUUAAUUUCCACAAGCCCUAAUUACAUCAAGAUUAUAUUCAGAUCAAAUCCAGUUAAUCAAUUAACCUAAAACUUAACUUCCCAAUUUUUGUUCAUCCAUAUUGAGCCUGCAAAUGAUUUAUUUUAGACAUAACUACCGCAUACCAAAUCCAUGUUUACCAUGAACACAUCCAGGCCUAUUAAAAACAUGAGGCGCCUUUCUGGAUUUGUUCAUCUUCGAACAAGCCCUUUUCCCCAAUUUCCUAAUCCUUUGUCUCCCAACUUUAUCACUCAACCAAUUUGGCACCAACUCAUCAUCCAAAUCAUAGUCGUAAUCUUCUUCUUCUUCGUCUUCCUCUUCCUCUUCAUCGUCCUCCUCCUGAUCAUCAUCACGAGAAUACUUCUCCUGAUGAUUAAACCCAACAUGGCAAACCACCAAUGCACCAAUUGUUUGAACUGGCAACGGAGAUCCCGAUUCUGAUUCCGAUUUCAUCGAGAUAUCAGAAGAUGGAGACCCAAUUUCACAUGAGUCAUCUUCUUUUAACAUCAACUCAUCAUCAUCAUCAUCAUCAGUUUGAUCAGUGAAGGAGUAGCUAUCUUCUUGUUCAUCAUCAGAAGGGUUAACAAAUUCCCACGAAGACAAAUCAUCAAACAGAUCAUGGGCAUCAAUUUCUGACUCAGAUCUAGCAACCAUUGUUGCUGAUUUAGAAAUUCUGAGAUUUUUUCCAAGGAUUCUCAACAUAUUGGCUUCUGAUUUUCUUGAAAAAUGAUAAGGGUUUGUAUUGAAGUAGUUUACUUGGGGAGGAGUUUUCUCUUUGUUAAAUGAGAAGAAAGAAAAUGCGUACAAGUAAUAAAGGAGAGCAGUUGAGGUGACGUGGCAGUUUUACUUUGGUCCACCUGUUUAUUUGCUGCAUUUUAAUUGGUUGAAUUACGUGCGUUUAGUAGAAUAUACCAAAUGGUACCACCGUUUAGUAGAAUAAACCGAAAUGCUAAUAAUGGAAUAUCCAAAACGGUGCCGUAAAACACGAAACGUGAAACAAUAGAAACCAAACAAUUUUUUUUUCUAUUUAGAUAAGUUUGACCCAAAAAUGUGGAGAAGGCAAUUAGGGAAAGAUAGAAGAAAUGAAAAAGGAUUUAACUUGAAUGGUCGAAAUAAUUUGUAUAUUAUUAAUGUUGUUAACGUGUGGUAACAAAUUGUUUGUUUUAAUAUUUCAAAUAAUAUCUUUGAAUAGUCAAACGACAUAUUCAAGGGGUCGGAAUAAGGUUAAUAUUUAUUUUUAUUAACGAUUUAAUUUGUUAUAUAAUUUUAAAAAGUUAUUUGUUUAUAAAAAACUCUCCUCUUAUUAAAAGAAAACUAAGUUCAAGAGACCUCCAUCUCUAUUAUUGUCCAUCAUAGUUUGACCCUCGAGGAACGAUAGAAGAAAAGAUUUAGGAUUUAUAAUUUGUAUAAUGUAAAUAUAUUUUAUAUCCUUCUUGUAAUUUUACAUAUUUAUCACAUUUUGAAAAUAGUUUAUAUAGGGAGAGUAAUUAAUUUCACUUGAUAUAGAUGAUGAUGACAAAUAUUGCUGAUAAGAGUUAACAUCAUGAUUUGACUAAUCGUGUAAAUUCAUAUCACAAUAAAGGUUUCCAAUUUAAAGUCCAUGUAAUGGAAAUUUCUACAUAUUAAUUAAAAUAAUAAUGUAGUAUCCAUAUAUUAAUUGGUAAUAUCAGCAAAUCUUUGAGGAAAUGCACAUGUAAAAUCAGAACUAUGAAAUUCCCAUAUAUCUUGUUAUAAGAGUUCAAAGAUAUUGAUUCAAACACGAUUUACAAAUCAAUAAAGUUUGAAAUUCUAAAUCCACAUAUUAUGCUCCACGAGAGGAUAGAUGAAAUGUUCAUGAAUUUUCAUUCAAGUAGUUGAUAUCAACAUACUGUGUUAUUUGCUUUAGAUUUUUCUUGUAUAUGCGAUAGCACUGAGAAAGCAUUUUUACACACUCCCGUCAACCAGAAAAUAUCUGUAGCAAAUGAUAAAAUAAAAAUUCACAGGACAGAAUAAAAGUUCUUCCUGGUAUAUGUGCCAGCGGGAGGUAGCAGGAACCCGUGCAAGCGUACUAAGGACACCAUGGUAUAAAAAAACAAAAGGUAAUAAAAUAAAAUACCAGUAAGUACAACCUAAACACAGGCAAUUUGAGUUUUAGACAGCAGGGAAAGUAAAUGCAUACACCAAGCGAAAACAAUGUGGAAUGAAGUAGCUAACUCUUGAAACUGUGGAGCUGUAUGCAGUAUGCUGCAAGUGAGGUCACCAGCUCAAUGUUAACUAUGAAAGAAAAGCCAUUUGAUAGAUUUCAUUAACGAAGGACACAGUACAGUUCCACCAGUUUACAAUGGAUUAAUGCAGGCUAUGCAAAUCCAGUUACAAAAUUCAAAAACUGCACGGCUACAUUGUGGUAUUGCACUCUGAAAAACUCGCGAUUUCGAAUUUACAGGUAGAAUGUACAAGCGACCUCUUAUUACGAGUCAGGAGAAGAGAAAUUGGAUAAAGGCAAGACACGAGAGGAGAAAACGAAUGAUACAAACGAUGGGACAAAAAUGGAAGAUGUUAAACAUGAUAGGAACCUCAUACCUCAAGGGUGUUCAUAGUAGAUCUCAGAUUGCUGCUCAGUAAUGCAUGGUAAAAAAAUGAUAAUAUAUCAUCAUGUUUUUCCUAUAAAGAAUGUGGACUUAUGGUACCUCCAGGUGCAAUGACUAGUUUACUAGAAUGUCUCAACCUUGGAGUACUCUGACAAUCUCCCCUGCUCUUGACUCAAUACCUUUCAGAUACUCAAUCAGAACUCGCUGCUGAUACGAGCCGCCCUCCUGAGAGAGUAAACCAUGUCAACAACCAUUCAAUGAAUGCCAGAAAGCAAAUUUCAACUAUUGAAUCCCUACCGUACGUAUCAAAGUCCGUUCCAUUCUCUUCUUAAUAACAGCAUACAAUUCCUCAGGCGAAAUAUCACCUUUUCCAAGAGUCAUGCCAUCUAGCAAGAGCUUGUUCCAUACUUCCUCUGGUGCUGUAUCAAAGGGAGAAGUGAAUUUCAUGUGAGGUGAAUCAACAUUUGAGGCAAUCGUAAAGUUCAAGGCAAAACAUUUGAUGGUAAAUGGACCUUAGAGAGUGAGUAAAAGCUAUUCAUACUCCAUAAUGGGAGAUAAGUCAUGUAUGUCCAAUUCCAAUCUCAACUGACAAAUUCAUUGCCUCUAGAGAGUUUAUUUGGUCCAUCUUUUACCCCUAAAAAGAUGCAUUUUACCCUUGUGGUUAUCUGAAACUAUAGGUUAUUCAUCUAAAGAGUUAUGACUCUGUCUGUGAGGAUUAGUCCCACGCCAACCAACUCAACACCUAUUACAACACCUGACCUCCAUUAACGAAGCUCAAAAACAUCCACCCAUGGUUUCUGAGCAGAUCUCAUCCAUUUUUGUUCCUCUUAAAUAGUUUGCUUAUUAUGCCUCAUAUCAGUUUUUGAUUUCUUUUGCUCCGUGUUAUCUAUAUGAGGCCUUAUCAGUAUCUGAAAUACACCUUCGAUGGCAAACUGAGAAGGCAAUCCGUGGAACGUGAGAGAGGCACAUGUUGAGGAAUUGAUUAAACAAAUAUGAGGUGGUCUCGCAAUUGAAAGAUUAUAAAUCCCGUGAUGCCGGUUUGUGAUAAGCUCACAAUCGAGAGAUACCUUUGAUAAUGGUCUCAAGAAACUGUUCAGCUUUUAACACUUCAUUUCCUGCACCAAAAGCAAAUCCAGAAUUAGUAAUUACAAAUUCUUGUUUUCAGAUUGAACAUCCAGGCAAACCAAUUCAUGGACCUAUACUUUUCUAGUUACAAAUGAGGUUAAGCAAUAAAGAGACCUUUUUUUGCAUAACUUCGCUUUGACAGCACUCUGGAAGCAUACAAUUGCAGAACCUUUUGUAACAUAGCUUCAAGUCCUGGCUUGUCCCCAUCUUUUGUAGCCUACAAAGUAAAAAACUCUGUAAUUAUCCAAUCUCUGUGAAUCUUAUUCUUCAUAUAAUAGAUUCCGAGAAACAUAGCUGUGAAAGAAACUGCACUACAGAGAUCAAUCUUCAUAUAAUAGAUUCUGCUUGUGGCUUGAAAACAUUGUUUUUCUGGAUCGUGAUUAAAAAUUGUUAAAGAAUGUAUAUAGACUUAAUCUUAGUAAUAUGCAUAGUAGCUAUAUAUAGGCAGCAGAUUUAUAGGGAUCACUGCAGAUCUAUAGGAAUCACUCGAUAUUUCUUUUCUUAGUUAGCACCUUAUGUAUUGUAUUUAUUCACUGUUCACAUCUUCCAUUCAAUUACAAAAAUAAUUUACAGCAAGAAACAGAUUGAUGCAACAAAAUAAUGUCUAAACUGAACAGGGAGAAGAACAAGUUCUUAUAAGAAGGGGUAAUCUUAUUAUUAGGGGGGCCGUCAGGGAAGGCAAUAAAAAUUGAAGAAGUGAGUCUGACAAAUGAAGACUUGUUAAAAGGAGGGGCGAGGCGUGGUAUGAGGCCAUUUCUAUUUUCAAAACUACCCUUUGUUUUAGUUAAGAAAACCAGUCAUAAUGGCAAAUCAGCAGGUAGGAGUGUGUUAGUUAGGAAACAUUACACCAGAUAACUAGUUAGAAUUUUUUUAAUUCCUUGGAAUUUCUCAUAAUUAAAAGACGCAUGUUCCACUUAUACACUCUUUUUGUCCAGUACUAUAAGUUAUUUUGUUUACCCGGUAUGUGUCUCUAGCUGCCCUGACAGAUUGCUCUCUUUAGUAAUUUGCAUACAUGAAAGAGAGUGAAUUCUGGAGUCCAAGUUAUAAUCUUCAAUUUCAGCAGAAGGUUCGUCAUGUCAAUGGUAAUUUUCCUCCCAGAAGAGAGAGAGAGAGAGAGAGAGUGAACAAACAAUAAAAUAUGCAUGGAACUAAAUGACAAGGCCAGCACACAAAGACCCAGAGUAAACUCAAACCAAAAAAGAGAACUAGGCAUUAAUUCAAAUAGACUCACUUGCCGCAGCUGUGCAUUGACUUCUGCGAGGAACCCUUCAUCAAGUUGGCCUUCUUGCUCCCUUUGAUUUAUUUCCUGAAUGUUAAAGAAAACAAAAUCACUUAAGCACAUAGCCAUAAAUAAUAAGAAAUCACAUAAAAAAAGAAAGAAAUUCUACGUACAAUAGACUAUAUAAACACUCAACAGAACUCUAGCAUAAUUUUGUUUUGAUAAGUAAGAGCUCUAGCAUAGUUCUAUUCCUCAACCUCCUUCUUGAACCCCCUUAGUUUUAUAAGAUGAUAUUCACUUCAACUCUUGACUCUGGCAUGGCACUACAAAAGAGUUCACUUUGAACACUAGAUCAAAUAAGACAGGAUGACAAGACAUACUUUCUCCAUAAGACUGACAGCCUCAGGAUCCCUAAGAGGCCAAGAAAUUUCUUCCACUUCAUCAAUCACCGGUUUUAAGAUUGCUUUGAGCACGUCAGUAGAUGCCUCUAUCUUUUCCUGCCGGGAGAAAGAAAAUGCCAUUAGAAACUGUCUGUUGCUCAUUUGAAAAAUGAAGCAUAAAAUGUAUUACUAUUUUGGUCAUACAUAAGCACCAAAUAAACUUCUAUUAUAUGGCAGGGAAAUACAAGGUAUGUCUAAUGACACUAUAGGGAUCUCAACCAUGGCAUGGAUUCUCCAUGGGACUUCACACUAAUAGGACAAUAGGAAAAUCCUUGACAAUUUCUCCUCAUUGUUCAUCUCCAUCUCUCCAAUUACAUGUACAGACCUUAAUAUAUAUGCUAAAGAGAAGUUACUUGUGAUCAGGUAGGGACCAAAAAUAUACACUUGGUAUGUGUAGUUCAGGAAGGAAAUAGAAUAUAUACAUUUGUUUUGUGAACAAGACGAUCUACGAUGUUCAUUACUGUCAAUGCCAGCUCUUCAUAGUCUUUCUGUAAAAAGAAAGUCAAUAAAGCUUAUUCCACAAGUUGAAAGAAGUAAUGAAGCAUACACCAUCUGAAAUAAUAAGAAAUGGAACCAUGCUUUGUCAUCGUCGGAUUUGCAGGUGUCUGCUCUAGCUGCAAGUCUUAUCCAAAAGCUCUCGUUGAAAGCGAGAACAUUCUCCACAACUAUCUGUGGCAGCUGCAACAAUAAUAGAAAGAUAAAGGUUAAUUUUCAUCCGUGUAGAUCAAAGCUCGAAUAGAGAAAUGGUCCCAAUUUGACAACUAGUAUAGCAUUCUAUUUCAUAGCUCUUUAAGGGUAUCAAUGUAUGUUCAAACCUAUAAUCCACCAAAUUAAACUACAGAGGAACAGAUGCAUUACAAUGAGAGGGCUGAUCAGCAUUCCCAACAAAGAGACAGAGGCAAGCUAAUUGAUAUAAAACAACUGACAACCACACCAGCAGCCUCAUGGUUGACUACAACAUUGCCAUGUGCUUUCUGAACUGACAAGAUAUUGCAUGCAAUAGAAUGUAAGAGCAGCCCAAAUUAGAAGCUGCUGCAGGUACACAGUACAUUUUCCCUAUUAGCUAUCUUGCCAACUAAUCAGCAGUGGUCCCUCGGAAUGCUUUAACUGAAUGCAAAUAAGAGGCAUGUCGUAUAAGAACUAGCACAAAGUAACUGUUAAAGGUAAGCAUCCGAUGUCCUUGAACAAUAAAAUUGAGAAUAUAAGUAUAGGCAGAUGGAAUGCAAAACAUGUUUGAUCUCCAAAAUGUGAUUCAUUACAAUAAAGAUGAGUAGAAUUUAAUAUUGAGAACAAGCAUAAAUGGAUCAUGGGGAAAUCGUGGUUCAAAUAUCAAGGCAAAAUAUGUUAGGUGAUUGCUUCUCAUUUGUCUAAGCCUCAGAGAAUAGAGUUGCACAUUACAUGUACUAAUAUAGUAAUAGGAGGUAGCUCAUAAGUAGUGGAUCAGUCGAGGUGCGUGAAUGUUGACCCGGCCACCACCAUUAUAAAUAUGCCCAUGGGAGAGUCCUGAAGAAAAUUGUGAGAAAAUCUACUUACUUCCUUAUCACUUGCCUCCCUCAGUGUAUCUAUAAGCCUAUCAACCUCCACAGUCUUUUUGAAAGAUUCCUCAGCAUCUUUACUGACUGCACAUAUGAAAUUUCUCCUGCUUAAUAUACCCAAACCAUUAACUUGAUGAUCAGUAGGUCAACUAAAACGAAACGGAAAAGUAGUUGCACAUCACUAAGCAAUUGUGUUUUCUUGGUAGAAUUUGAAAAAGGAAACGAGUUUUUAGAGAACUAUUUACGCCAAUAAACUAUUAUACCAAAUUAUACCCGAUUUAACCCAUAUAUAUUUGUGAGUAAGCACCAUUUAUAUACUAUUAUACACUUUUAUAUAAGAUUGACACAUAAUGUUUAAUGCUUUUCUCGAGUUAUAAUGUUUUGUUCUUCAUUCUUUUUCAGAAUCCAGAAAUACAAAAUCCCCUUUGUCUCAUUGUAUAAGCACAAUACUUGAGAAUUCUUAAGAGAUUUUGACAAACCUCUUGCUGAAUUGCAGAAAACCCACGAAAGAAACUGGAUAAUUUUUCUGAAAGUGAAUCGCUGCUUGCCCAAUUCUCAUUGUUCUAUGCAAGUAACACUGCAUUUAAAGGGAAAAAAAAACAUUGAAUCACGAACACUUAAAAUGAUAAUAUUGGAAGUUGAAAAAUGCGAAGAGAGUACCGAAUAACCUGUGAAUUUGAAGAGAAUCGUCGAAUAGCAAGUGGGUUUAGUGACAAAAUAGUUGCCAUUUUCGAGCUUGGUUUUGGUACUUUUUUUUUUUUUUUCUUUUCUCGGUGUUUUAAGGAAUGGCGGGAGAGAGGCUGAGAGGGAGACACAUAGCCAAACGUUACGGUUCUCAUCUCAUGAUACCGGACCCACAUCCCACAAUUAUUGGGCUGGACUAAGUUGAACUGUAACGGGCUUUUGGUUCUUAACUCAUUAAGACCAUAAUGCCCCACUAUUAUUGGGCUGGGCUGGAUAAUUAUCCCUGACCAAGUUGAACUUUAAUGGGCUUUUGGUUAACUUUUUGUUUGGGCUGGAACAUUUUCCGUGACGCAGUCUAAGUUGAACUGUAAUGGGCUUAUGGUUUCUUAAGCCCAUAACGCCCCACUAUUAUUGGGCUAGGCUGGACAAUUAUCUUUGCUCAUCAACUAACUUUUAUCUUUUUUUCCAAGGACAACUUUCACAUAUAGCAAACAAAAAAUUCAUAUUUGUAUAAUAUAGCAAACUUUGCAUAAUUGCGCUCCAUAGCAAACAUAAAAACUGUAUAAUUCGCUAUACAUAUACAAGUGUAUAAUUCGCUGGCCUAUUUCGCUGCAAUUGUAUAAUUUGCUUUGCAUAUAGUUGAAUCGAAUUAAAAUGUAUGUAUAUUGCAUAAUUAUAAGUUUAUAGCAAAAAUAUAUAUGUUUUUCUCGCUUUAUACAAAAACAGAAACACAAUAUAUACACUUCUGUUGUAUAAAGCUAGAGAAAAUUGUAUUUCACUGCAAUUGUAUAAUUCGCAAUUGUAUAAUUCGUUGACCUUUUUCUCUGCAAUUUUUGAAGUAAAAUAUUUGUAAAUUGUAUAAUUAAGUGUAUAACACGAAGAUAUACAUUUUUGCAUGUGUAUAUACAAUUUUCUCUCGCUUUAUACAAAACAGAAACAGAAUUAUACACUUCUGUGUAUAAAAGCGAGAGAGGCGAGCGAGAAUGGAGAGUGGCGAGCGAGAUUCCUGGGAGAGAGACGCUGACAAAUUUUAGUUAAUGUUUGCUAUGGAGCACAAUUAAAUCAAACCCUAACUAUUCUAUUUAAUUUAGAUUAUUAGUUUGCUAUUUAUACAAUUUUUCCUUUUUCCAAGUCUGUUUAACGAAAGAGCGAGUUGAAGAUUUUGAGAAAUACUUGAAUAUAUUUGAAAGAAUAAGAAAAUUUUCUCUUGUCUGUCUACAUCUUUUUCGGCUAUUUUUCUCACUUAUAUUAUUACUCUUUUUAGUUUUGUUUUACUAUAUAUUUUCAUUCUUAAAAAGUUACGUCUAAUUAUGUUUACCUUCACAAAAAUAAAUGUAUUGAUACUUGUACCUAUCUUAAGAAUCUCAAAUUUGAUUGAAGAAAUAUUACCUUUGAUAUAUAUUGUCUUUAUUUAUAUAUUACAUUCAUAAUAUUUAUUUUUCGAUUAAUUUCAUUUUAAUAUUCAUUGAUCUCUUUUAUAAUAAUCAAACAUUGAGACUUGGACAUAUAUCACAAUCGAUUCUAAAGGAAUAAUAUUGUUCAAAUUAAUAAUAGCGACACAAAGGGAAGGUCUACUUUGAUAAUCAAAGAUAUCUGCAACUCCCAUUUUCUUCUGACAAAGACAUGCAAGCGCACACAACCAAUGAACUUGAGAGCACAAACUAAUUUGAUAAAAACACAAAUGUGAGUAAGGCAAAGACAGGAAAUAUAUGUAAGGGAAAUUUAAUAUGAGUAAUAUGAUAUGAUCAAACUUUAAAAGUCAGACUAAAGACUGUCGAAAUGCAGCUACACUUUAUAAAAUUCAAAUAUACAGAGUCGUCCGGACUAUUCCAUAAACGAAUACAACACCAUUAGAUCUUACAGCAGGGGUUGCAAGUGGUAAUAACUUGGUCUCAUUACAACAAAAACAACUUUUAGCGAUAAUAAAUAAAUAAUUACUAAAAAGUGCGACAUUAGUUAAGUGUCAUUAGAUUCAAUAUCGCUAAAUUUUUUAGCGACAUAUAUAAAGAGUGUUAAUUGCCGUUAAAAAUACAUAUUUAGUGGCAAUUGGUAAUUAAUUGCGACUAUAGUUUUUUUAUUUUUUGAUGUAGUGCAUGUAAUGUUGAUAUAGGUCCAGCAAACAAUUAAAAUCAAAUGCUGACGGACAUAAACAUUGUGGCUCGACAUAAAAAAUUAUUUAUAACAAAAACUAGUAUAAAAAAUUCAACAUCCAUAAUUGAGUGACUUUUAAGUUAUAAAAUAAAAUUGAGCGAGAACACGAGAUAUUAUUUCACUAAAAUCAGAAGGAAACAAUGAAAAGUGUAACUUUAGACUUGACCGCUCUAGCAAAAUCUAAAAAUUUGAAAAGUUAACUGUAGAGAACCUCAACCCCACCCCCACAGAACAUCAUCAUCACGAUCACAUCCAUGAUAUCUUCAGCAGAAGUGAUGCAAUUUUUCAGUACAGAAGUAGUUAACUCUCCCGUAUUAAUGUUAUACGCGCAGAGAGUUUUCUUGUCCGGCUUCACGAAGAACAAUAAAGAAUUGUUAGCUAAAGUGAUAACUAGUUUGAUCCCUCCCAAUUCCAAGAGAGAGGAUUUCAUAACCAUGUUCAUGAACAGAAAUCAGCUUGACAGCUUGGCUAUCAAAGACAAAAUCCAAUGUGAUGCAUAAACUAGGAUUCUGUGGAUUAGGUAUAUCAAGCCUUUGGUGUAAUAUCGAGCAUUCAACGCGAUAUCUCUUAAUAGAAGAAUCAUGAAUGCUGGUAAAUUCAUGGAGAUAUAAGCCUUGACUACUCGUAGUAAUAGUUUUAAACUUUACUGCAUCUCUUCUCUCGUUUUGAAUGUCCUUCCAAAGUCUUCCCCUCUCCUUCAAAGUGCCUGAGAGAUCAUCCAAAUUUAAUCCAGAUUGCGAAUUUCGAUAAUGAAGGAAGGCCAGAUGAGGAUGAAGAAACAGAGUAUUCCAUAGCUUGCAAACAGAUCUAAAUUUGAACAAUGAUGAGAGUGGCAAGUAGCUUAAUAUGUAGAAUAUUAAUUUAUCUGGAAGUUGCGGAUAAUUAUUUUCAUCCAUUCUCAUUGUCAUUGCCAGGCACAUUCUGAAACAUGAAAAUCGAAUACUACUCAAUUAUCCAACCAACAAUAUGAAUAUUAUUUAAAUUUGUAAACAUAAUUAAGAAGAAAGGAGGAAUUAAAUCAACAAACCUCGAGAGUUAAUUACUUUGAUUUGAGACGAGUGUAGAUGGAUUUACCGACAGGCAACAUACAUCACGAUUAUUUAUACUACAUAAUAAUCCGUUCCUUUUUUGGUAUCCCAAACCAAUAUCAAUAAAGAAUCCAAAUCCAAACCCAAUAAGGUUUUAUAAAACAAAAUUACUUUUUUUUUUAGAUGGAAAAGCCUCAAAAGUCUAUUUUUCUUAGGAAUUGGAAAUUUUAUCUCUUUUAUAUAUGUGAAAAGGUUCUGUGUCAUUUGGAGCUGAUAUUCAUAAAGUGACUCAUAUAUACCCUAAUCGUUAUAUAAACGGUUCAUAUAUAUACUUGUCGUUACAAAGUGAGCUCACAUAUACCCUUUAUUUAACGGAAGUUUAAAAAUUAGUUUUAAAUUUAUAUUUUUUAUUUUUUAAAAAAAAUUAUUUAGAGGUAUAUAUGAUUUUUCUAUCAAAGUUCAAGGUAUAUUUUAAUUUUUUUCUUAUAUAACUUAUUUUUUGACUUUUUUUAUUAUAAUUAUUUGAGUUUCUUAUUCUUAUUUUAUGUUUUUUCUUUCAUUCCUUAGUGAAAAAAAAUUAAACUAUUUUUUUGUCAAUAUUGUAAUUUAAUUUUUGUAAUCGAAGAAAAAAAAUUGGCCAUCUACAAUAAGUUUUACAAGAAUAUUAAUGAAACGUAAAUAAAUUUGAUUAUCAAAAUAAUAACUCUAAACUAGUCAUUGAAACAAAAAGAAGGUCAAAAAGAUAUGUUUGACGAGGAUUAAAUUUACUCAUAUGAUUUUUUUUUCAUUUCCGUUAAAGGAAAAAGGUAUAUGUUAGCCAUUUGUAUAUGAGUAAUAUAUGAGUCAUUUUCAUAACAAGGGGUAUAUCAACUCCAAAUGACCAAAUUGAGUGAUAUAUCAAACCCUUUUCCCUUUAUAUAUUAAUUUUUUGCUAAAAAAAACUAAUUCUAGACCUAGCUAACACAGGAGAACCUCUUUGUCAUUUUAAAAUCUUUUUAAACUUAGUCACGGAUAAUUGUCCCAAUAAGUGGGCGUUAUGGGCUUAAUGAGUUAAGAACCAAAAGCCCAAUUACCGUCUGCGUCACGGACAAUUGUUCAGCCCAGGCCAAUAAUAGUGGGGCGUUAUGGGCUUGAUGAGCUUAAGAACCAAAGCCCAUUACAGUUCGUCUGUGUUUAAUUGUCUAGCCCAGCCCAAUAAUGGUGGGGUAGGGGCCCGGUGAUUACGAUCAAUUUUAUUCUGAUUGUUAUUCAUUUUUGGAAAAAUUUAUAUAAUGACAAACUAAUAGUUCAAAUUUAAUGUUACAAUCCCAAUUUGAUUUAAUUGUUCCUUGUACCAAAUUGUUUACUAGUCGCUUCUCUCGCUUAUACAAACAGAAACAAAUAUAUAAAUUGUAUUUUUGUUUGUAUAAAGCGAGAGAAAAUUGCAUAUCCACAUGCAAUACAUAUAUUGUCAUCCUAUACAUUUAUAAUUAUAUAAUACAAAUUAUACAAUUGAUCUUUUGUAUAUAACUGAUUUCUUUUGUAUAUGUAUAGCGAAUUAUACCAUUUUUUUAUGUAUAUAGCAAGAUAUACAUAUUUAUAUUUUCUAUGGAACACAAUUAUGGAAAGUGUCACAACUAAUAUUUCUUUUCACCGAAAGUCACUCACUUUAAUUUAUAAUCUCAAAAUCACUUAUUUACGUUUUUUUUUUUCAUAAAAAAUUACUCAACUAAUAGUUGUUUUCACAAAAAAUCAUUCAACUUUUUUUAUAAUCUCAAAGUCACUUAAAUAUGCAUUUUUUUUUAUAGAAAGUCUCAACUAAUAAUUAUUUUUCCAAAAAGUCAUUCAAUUUUAUUUUAUAGUUUCAAAGUCACUCAACUAUGAAUACUGUACCUACAAAGUCACUCAACUAUUGAUAUUUCAUUUGGAAAGUGACCAAUCAAUUGAAAUUUCUUUCAUGAAAUUUUAUUGCAAUACAAUUUUGUUAACAAAAUAAUAAGAUUCUCAUUUUAAUUAUUUUGUUUAACUUUUUUAAAUGUAUUUUUUGAAAAAACAAAUUUCUAAAAAAGUAAUAAGAUUAUUAUUUUCAUUACAUUGUAUUUAUUGAAUUACUAAUAUAUUUUUAUAACAAAUCAUUAUAUAUAUAUAUAUAUAUAUAUAUAUAUAUAUAUAAAUGAUAUUUUUUUUCAGAUUUGAAUCAUUCAGAUCGAUGAAAUAAGGUUUUAUCAAGUUAAUAGGACUAUAAUACUUUUUAAAAAAUUCUGUUUCAAGAGUUUGAUAUUUUUUUCUUCAUCACAAUGAGUAGUCUAUUUUGCUCAAUCUCCAUAUUUUCUUGAUUUAACAGGAAAAAAAGAGAUGAGCAAAAAAAUAUAUGGUUUUAACUUUCUAGUACAUUGCAUAUGGCCCAUAGGCAUCACUUUUGAUCCUCAAAAUCCAGUUCCAUGUGAGAAACUAUUGGAAGUUGAAACUUUAAAAAGCAUUAAAUUAAUUCUUCAAAAUAAUGCCAUAUCCACCAUCAUCUAAUUUUUAAUAUAUUUAUAUAGUACUAUAUUUUUAUGAUACUUUUGUUCCUUUAUCUUCUGAGUUCUCAUCCAAUCAAUGAAUUUCAACAAGUUGCAUAUAUACAAUUUUUAAUAUUUUAAGUUUUCCUUCUAAGAUGUUCUAAAAAUCUCAUCCAUAUCCCAAUCCUGAAAAAGUGUAGUUUGUCAUUUAGUGUUUAUUCUUCCCUACCAAGUACUCUUUUUCUAUAUUUUUAAUAAUAAAACAUAUCUUUUCUAUGAGAACAAUAUUUAAUUAUUCUUUCUCCAACCUUUCCACCCACUCCAUGAUCAAAAGAUUUAAUAAUCCAAAAUCAACAGCUCUAACAAGGAUUUAAUAAGCCAAUAAUUAAUAACUGGCUAACAUCAUAAACUAAUUAUAAGGUGGAAAGAACUAUUUUUUAAAAAUUUGUUCUUAAAUAUAUAUUGUAUUUGGAUCGGACAUAAUUUGAAAGUUGAUUAUUUCACAUUCAUACUCUUUAAGUCGUAUUAAUAUGGAUUUUUGAGAAAAAACAUUGUAAACUUGAGCAAAGGAUGAAUAAUAUUAUUUCAACUCGUUUAUUUAGUAGUUAUUUUAGCCCAUAACUAGUAGUAUUAUUAGAGUCGAUAAAAUUUUGUUAACUAUGAAUAACGAAUGACGUAAGUGACAUGGAAUAAAUAUUCAAAUAAAUUCAAAAUAACAAUGCAAUAAAUCUAUAGAUAAACCCAAAAUCAUAAUAAUGCGAUCAUAUAGAACUUUGUUCAAGAUGAAGAUAUAUAUUGAAGUAAACAAAUGUUCAAGUUCCAUUUUAGAAAAGCUUCAAGUGUGAACUAAUUAAUAAUGUAGGCCAUUUACACAGCAACCAUCGAAUUUUCAUAUGCCAAAGUCAAUUAAAUUUGAAAAGCUUGAUUAAGUCGUAUUUGGCAUAAUUGUUUCUUUUUCUGUUUGAAUCUUGAAAUUAGAAAAAUUUGUCUUUUACCUUUUCAAACUUCAAAAAUACUUAUUUGUUUGAACUUUUACAUACCUCCAACAUUGUCAACUCGUCCAUUGUAACCAAUCAUUCAAAAUUGGUCAUUUUUCAACCUUUUAAUUUGUAAAAUUAUCACUAUGAUUAAUAUGAUCCCUCCACCUUUCACCAAUUUUUCAACCUUUUUGUAAAAUUAUCACUGGGAUUAAUAUGAUCCCUCCACAUAUAACUGUCGUUUCGUUUGAAUUCAAGUUAUGAUUGGAUCAUAAUCGUUUGAAUUCAAGUUAUGAUUGGAUAAAUUAUGAUGAGAUUAUUUUUUAUUGAGUUUUUGAUUUGUUGUAUUCAAAAUAAAUAAAUUUUAAAAACAAUUUAUUAGUUUAUAAAAAUAACCUUCAUGUAUGUAAAAAGUAAUGUAAUAAAAGGGUUGAAAGAGAUAUUUUUGGUCAUUUAAUUAUUUUAUCUAAGGAUUACUAUACCACCCAAAGGGAGGGAUAACUUAUCCAGAGACUAAUUAUUAAUUCCGGGAUAAGUUAUUCCGAACUUGUCAACCAAAUAACAAACUAAAUGGUACUAUAAUUUAAUCACAUAACUAUUUGGUUUUAGAUUUGAACCUUGAAUACUACUAAUUGGACCGAAGAAAGUAUCUCCUAUUAGGGUUUGGUGUAUCAAAGAGUCGCUCCUCCAGUUGAAUUAUCGGGUCCCUUUUCCGUUGCCUAGGUUACACUUUCGAAAUACCCUGUAAGGGAAUUUUUUCUACUCCCCAAAACUUCACUUUACAUUUUAUGCCACGCCGACUCCUUUAUUACGCGUGGAAUUAGACCAAGGGGAAUCUCUAUUAGAACUAGUCCCUUAUGUUUCGCACAUAGGAGACCUAGACAGAACCCCAGGGCUAUGGAGACAACAAGUAUCUAUUUCUCCUCUACUCGAUCGCUUUUGUUAUUGGCGAUGUGCGUUUUCCCCUAAUGAAUCUCCACAAUAUAAUUUAAAAGAUCGAGACCUCAAAAUAGGUAUCAAACAUCGAGUGAAAAUUCAAAAUAAUAAUUUGUUGACUUAAAAAAAAAAUUCAAAAAUAGGAUUUAACAAAAGAUUUUAAAGAGAGGCUGGCUGGCUAGAUCAUCUAUAUAGGGGUAAAUAGCACUUAUUAAGUGUAGCCAUAUGUUAUACAAUCAUCAGUUGAUAUUAUUAGGUUUAACCCUAAUAAGAUGUGAAUUCAAAUAGUAGCUGUCAAAGCCAGCCAAACCCCACCCACCCCUUUUAAUUUCUGCAAGAAAAACUAAUUAAAGUGAAAGCAACUGGCUUUGUUUGCCCAUAAACUGACAUACUUUAGCAUUUAUACAUAUUCCAUGUCCCCCUCUCUAUGCCAAUUAUAUUUGAUAAAUAUUUAUUAUUUUGGUACUCUUCCUAAAUAAUUUGGAAAUAUCUACACUAAUAUAAAUGGCUUGAUCUUAUUACACAAAUAUUUGACUAGGUAGAUCUAUCUAACCAAGUAAUAUAAAUGGCUUAGCUUGUACCAAAAUAUUUAUAAAGAUCUACCUUUUACAUAUGUUAAUUUCCAUUUUCCAAUUUCAAAGCUUAAGAGGGUAUCACCGUAUCGAUCAAUCAAUAUCAAUAAAUGGGAUAAUAACAGCUUCAUCCUAUCCCAUGCACCAAUGCCCACAUUUUCACGCAUCAAAAUAACUGCUUGCUAAAGAUUAUGUCUUUUUUUAAAAAAAAAAUAAAAUAAUAAUAAAUGUAAUGGUAAUGUUUGGAUAAGUUUGUGUCUGUAUAUAGCGUUCAACCAUCUCACCGUCAUUUAUUAUCAAAAAGAAUUUUUUAAGAUAAAUGAUUUUGAUCGAAUUGUCAAAUGUAUAGUAGCUCAUCAACUAAGGCUAGAAUAUAAUUGAACCAUUGAGUGGUGAGAGUGCGAAAGCUUUUUAUAAAGUGUUUUUUUAAAAAAAAGGCAACUUGUUUGGUUAUUUUGUCUUUACAUUUAUUUGGACAUUAUAGAAGCCAUUGUCUUUUAUUUCCAGAGAUUUCUCUUUAUUCAGUCAUUGAAAGAGAAAUUUUAAUAUAUUUUCUGAAACUCUUCAGAGACUUUAGGUGUGAGCCCACAACGAACACAACUCCCUUUGUGCCCAUAAUAUUUUGUCUUUUUCCCAAAUUUACUCUCUUCUAUUCUAAGUUUCUAACUAUAUAUACAUCUCUUUAGGGAAACAGUACAAAUAUUAAAAAGAAAAAUAAAAUGAAGAUUCAAUGUGAUGUUUGUGAUAAAGAAGAGGCAUCAGUUUAUUGUUCAGCAGAUGAAGCCACACUUUGCCAAAGCUGUGAUUAUCAAGUGCAUCAUGCCAACAAGCUUGCAAGCAAACAUCUUCGUUUUUCUCUAAUUCAUCCUUCGUUCAAAGAUUCUCCUCUUUGUGACAUUUGCCAGGUACUAAUAAUAUUCGAGUUUGGUUUCACAGAUGAUCACUCAAUUUAAAAUUAUUACGUCAAAAUGUCACUUGAUCUGAUGAAGAAAAUUGAAUUAAGGAAGGUAAUUUUUCGAGAUAACAAAUUAUUAACAACAUCUGAGAAAUAUAUUGCAGUGUAAAAUUUUUGCACAAUCAACAAUUACUACUGAAAAAUAUUUUAAUUGAAUCAGUGAGAAAAAAAUGUUAUCAUAUGAAAAAAUUAGGAAGUUCCCGACUAAUAUAGUGAUAAUUUAUUUAUACCAUGCAUUUCCUCCGGUGAGCUAAUUCAGUAGAACAUGAGAGGAAAAAUCAUGAUCUAUUAACACAUAUACUAGCGAUGAGCAUAAAAUAUGGGCUGAUAGUAGAACUUAUUUAAUUUUAUGGUGUAUAAUGUAGAAAAUUAACAUUUAUUUCUUAUUGUAUUUUAUUUUCAGGAAAGACGUGCAUUGCUAUUUUGUAAAGAAGAUAGAGCAAUACUUUGCAAAGAAUGUGACUUGCCUAUACACAAAGCAAAUGAACACACAAAGAAACACAACAGAUUUCUUCUAAGUGGAGUGCAGCUAUCUUCUGAUAUACUUGCUUCUAAUUAUAAUAAUAACCAAAAUUCAAUAUCCCCAGCUGGAUCUGCUGCAAGUAAUGCUGGUACAAAUAAUUUUAAAGCACUUAGUGGAAAUUUUGGGAUGAAGAGUAAUUCGAUUUCGAGUACUACAGAAUCGACACAUAACUAUUUUCAUGUUGAUUAUGUACAAGAGGGUUCUGUUUCAACUAGUAGCAUAUCAGAAUAUUUGACUGAGACUCUUCCUGGUUGGCAUGUUGAAGAUUUUCUUGAAUAUCCCUCUUCUUCUUCCUAUGGUAACUGUUUCUUUUUUACGGAUUUAAAAAUGUCAUUAACUCGAAAUAUGGGCAUUUUUGGAUCAAAUUAUUGACAAAAAGGAGCAUUUUAGACCAAUAUUAUUAACUGAUGACAUAUUUGACCAUUUUUGAAUAUAAUAAAAUUUUCAGAACUUGCAACUAAAUGAUGCUGUUUGAUUGCAGAAUUUUGAUCAGGUACGACCAGAUGUGUAGUUUUUUCCCCCACUAAAGUGGGGAUACCUCAUAAUAUCAAAUGGAGUACCUGUUCCACAGAUCAACUCUCCAUCAACCUAGCAACUUAUAGGACAGACUUGGUAAUAAGGGCAUAAUAUCUUUUAAGAUAUUAAGAAAAGAGUUAUAUAAACUGCCAUCUGACCUUUUCUUUUGGUUACUAACUUUGACCAGUUACUUUGUUUUUGGACAUGUAACACAUGUUGUAAGUUAAAGCCCCACUGUUCUUUUUUUUUUUUUUUGGUUAUUUGUUUUUUGCAAGUCAAAUCACUUCGACUUGUUGCAGUAUGUUAACCUGAAUGGGAAUGGGUAUUACUAGAUGUGGGUACUUUUGUUUUUUUGCUUUGUGGGAGGCCAAUCUUUUUGUAAUGCUAGUGGGAAAGCCUUGUGCCUAUUACCCACUUUGAUUAUUGAAUAUGGUAUUCCUAUUUGUUCAAGUAUUCAUGGCCAAAUCAAUUAUUUAUGGAAGAUUGAUGCAAAGAUAUGGCAUCCAAGAUUUUCGACGACGACCUUUCUAGGCAAUCAAUGUCAGUUCAAUCAUUUAUAAUCUACACCACGUUAAUGCACAAUGACAAUCAAAAUAACUAGUUCAAAUAUGAAUUUUCAAUAUUCAUUUUAGAUUAUGUAUUGGAACACAUUUCAUCUUAUAUUCAAAAUUUUAGAUUAUGUACUACUCGAGCUUCUCUAUAUUAGUACAUAAAUUGUUUAAACAUGAAAGACUCGUUGAAUAUAGUCUAAAGUUAGUAUGGUAUCAUGGCUAUGCCUUAUUCCGAAUUGAGUUCUAUAGCAGUAGACCGAUCCAUGUGACCUUACUAAAAGCUCAUAUGAGAAUAUUCUUUAAAUGAGGGUGAUGGGAUGUUCUGCUUCUACUGGAAAAAUUCAUUAACAGUGUUCGGUAGGAAUAAUAUUCAUAUUAGUUAUGCGUUAAAUCUUUGAUAUAACUUGUCUACAAACCCCACUCCUAAAAUAUCCUAUGAAAUAUCUAUGUAUGAUUAUCUAUGUAUGAUCAUUGGAAUCCAAGUAGUCCAUAUAUCACAUUGCACCUAAGGAAUAUACAAACCGGACUAGCUGGCGUGCUUGUUAAAGCUUCUGAUUAUUACAUGUUGAAGACAUUGAAGAAAGGCAAGUUAGUAGAAAAACAAAAAAACAAUUCCAAGUGAAGAUUUAAAUUCCGAAUAACCAAGAAACCAAAAAGAAAUAUACCAUGUGGAAUAACAAAUAAAGAAAUGUCAGACCAAAGAGAACAAGAUUAUAGCCCCUACAAGCUCAAAAUUUUUUUACUUACACGACACAACAUUGUGACUGCAGUAGUGUUCUCUAUAUACUACAGUUGAAGUGCAAGGAGAUCAAACUGUGGACAGAAGCAACUCCCUGAGUUCAAAUAGUAUUCGACCGUGUCCUUUGUCCCCAGUGUCUUUCUUAUUUACAGUUGAUUGGUAGAUAAGUGGGGAAAAAAAAGGUAUACUGUUGACAUUACAUACAGUUGAUCAAUUUAAAGAAUUGUUCUGAGAAAGCGAGUUUCACAAGUGUGAAGAGAACCCUCCUACAAAGAGAGGGAGAAAAGUAAGCACCUUAUUGCAAGUUGUGACUUCAGAAUUUAUGCAUAUUUGUAAAAUAGAAUGGGAAUUCACGAUGAAACAACCACCAACCUUUCACCAUAGCUUAAGCACUUGAAAUGGCGUCUCAAGUAAAGACAAAAAUCCUAUCUGCAAUUUCAGUCCGACAGAUUGGACACUCGGCACAGGCAAGGGAACAAGAUUUACACACUGCAAAUCAAGACUACAUUAGACAGAUCCUACCCAAGGGAGUGAAGAUAAUCUGAGCACAUAAUCAGAAAGUUGACUUACAGCAAAAAUGUCGGCAAGGAAGGAGCAUUGCAGAAGUUAGUGAUUCGAAACAGACUUUACAUACAUGUGAAUUUGCAUCUGCAUUCCCCACAUAUGUGUGGUCCUUUUCCUUCAUCUCAUGCAUUCGAGCCUGAUGGCGCACACAUAAAAGAUCUUUAAUACUUUGUCAUAUUUUGAGUCACCAAGGAACCUAAAGAAACAACAGUUGUUAUUAGUAGUUUCUACCUAUGCAAGAACCUAAGCACUAACAGGUAUUCUGUUACCCAUGUUAUAUCAAGUUUCCCGUUUUAGGUUCCAUCUCAAAACGCUCGACACGAUUUCAUUAGUAAUAUUACACUACAGAGUCAAAUUCUUCUAAGAAAUACAAUCUAUUUGACUGUCAAAAUAUUCUUUUAUAACUAAAACUAACUGUCAGUUCAACAUUUUCUUGCAUUACUACUGUUAAUUAUAUCCCAGUCAAGAACAGUAGGACUAGCCUGAAAAGCCUCCAAAGAUUGACGAGGAGCAGUUCAUAAAAUGGCUAACAUUGUGGCUCCUAGUUAUGAUUCAUUGAAACAUUUCUAUAUUCCACUGAACUAACUUUUCAACCAUUACUUUGAUAUUAUCUCCUGUUAUCAAUAAAAUCAAACUCAAGUAAUAUUAGCAACUUAAACGCCAUCAUCAGUUAAACACGAGAUAAAAUGGGACAGUUGGAAUAAAUGUAUAUCAAAACCCAUGACUUGCAGAUGUUGGACACUUAGGGGUCGUUUGGUAGAGUGUAUAAGAAUAAUGUUAAAUAGGGUGUACUGGUAAUGCUUACAUUAGCAAUAUAUGUAUUAGUUAUGCUUCCAUUAAUUUUACAUAGAUUACUUUUAUGCAUAGUUUGGUUUGAUGCAUAAAAAAAAUAGUAUGCACUGCAUAAAAAAUUUAAUUUACAAAGAUACCCUACCCUCCACUAUUAUGGUGAAAAAGAUGUAAAAAAGGUUUUGAGGGGCAAUUGGGUCUUUAAUCAUGCUAAUGAAUGCAUUAUAAUCCUUGCUUUGCUAAUACCUAAAAAUUAAUGGUAUUAACUAUACACACCUUAAUAUACUUUAGAGUGCAAGGUUUGAAAAGAGUACCAAAAAAGGUACUAGUAAUACACAAGACUAAUGCAUGCAUUAUUUUUUCGAAUACACUCUAUCAAACGAGCCCUUAUUCUCUCCACCCCUCUGGUGUGCUACUAAAAUCUAACCUUCCUAUCUCCAAAAGGCUUGCAUAUCUUACUGGAUCCAAAAGUAUAUCUCACACUUGUUUUUACAACUGAAUAGACAAAAAUGAACCGUAAGAGAGGAAAAGUAAAAUAUAGCUUAUCUAGCCUCAUUUGGGUGUAUGAUGUGUUAUAAGAUUGUUAUACUUACAAUAACCUGUAUUUAUUAGGUUAAUAAACAGAAAUAAAAAUAAGAUGAAGCAGAAAAAAAAAAUACAAGAAAUAAUCCGAGUCCACAGAAACUACUGUGUGUCCUUAAGAAAUUUAAUCCCCUCACUGUAUCCAACGUUAUGGAUUAAUUUCUCCCAAGAUAAAACGGAUUAACUCUGUUAAAGAAAUAGCGGUACCUCAAAUUUCUUUAACUUCAACGAACUUAAGAACAGCAACAAGUCACACAGACUCAGUCGAUCGACACUUUGAUUUUUAUUUGAGGGAAAAAUAAAUGCAGAGAAAGAAAAAUUUUCAGUGUUUGAAAAAUCAAAAAUUGACUUCCUUUUAUAGCCAUUUUUCAGCAAGGAACAUGUCUGUUCAAUGAAAUCUGUUCAGACCCAUUUUAUCCAGAAAAUUGUGUCUUUUGGAAAAAAUAACAACUUUUCGAAAAAAUGUGUCUGUUAGGUUCGGAAAAGUUACAACUUUUCGAAAUGUUACCGUUACCCGCAAAUUUAAAAGAGAAACAAGAUUUAUUUGCUUACGACGGCCCGAGGGGCAUCCUCUUCUUAUCUCUUUCAAGAAGUAAUGGAAGUGUUUCCUUCUAUAAGGACAACAAUUUCCAUUUCUUUUGCCGAUAUGGGAGAAAUGACUUUUCAUUUGCAUUUUGCAAAUGACUUUUCAUUUUCUCUCCAAAGUAGUUCCCUCACUUUUCAUAUUCUCUCUUUUUUUUCCAUUCACACUUGCUAAAACCCAACAUGAUGCACAAACACAAGGAAAUUAGCUAGCUUUUGGAAGUAUACAGAGCUUCAACUCAGUCAAAUCACAAGGACACACCCUAACACGUACAUGUACUAGAUACAAUAGCUAAGUGGCAAGAAAAGGAUAAGCAUAAAUUUUUUUAUGUUUUUUUGUUUGUUUGUUUUUUAAAAAAAAGUUAAACAUUAUUACCUUCAAGCGGGCAACAAGAGGGUCUUCCUUCAGAAUCUCAGCAACAGAGGUUGCAUGAUCCUCGGUCUGUUCAUCAUCGAUGAUGGGGUCAUUGUACUCACUAUCAAACAUUUCUGGAUCAUUCAUAUUGCGUCUUCCAAAAUUCUGCCUUUCUGUUACUGUCUUUACAUCUUGCGUGGCGCCAUUCUUUUUCCUUAGCUGAGAAACGAGUACCCACAUAUUUGCUAAAUCAUUUUCCAGAGCUGCCUCCCUUCUCUUUCCCUCUUCAACCUUUUUCCGGUACUCAUCUUCAAGUAUUUCCUUCUCAACCAAGGCGGCCUCAAGAACUGCCUCACGUUGUUUUCUUGCCUGCAACUCCAUUUUUAAAUCUUUAGUAUCUAGAUCCCAUGUGCCAAGUCCAUCACGAACAACUCCAGGAACUUCACUUUCUCGGUCAGAAACCCGACUUCUACGUCCUUGCCAUAGGUUUUCACCAUGCUUUCGGUGGCGAACAUUACCAGUGUGUGCAAUGGUACUCCUAGAAUUUAAUGCCUGUCGAGCAGCCAACAGUUCUUUCUCGAGUUCUUUAUUCUGUAUCGAUAGACUUGUCACUUCACCAGCCAAAUUUUUAAGUUCAACAGCCGCAGCAGAUGCUAAUUCUUUUGCAUAUGAGGUCUCUUCAAACAAUUUCUGGUUCUGUACUCGCAAUGCACUACUCUCCUCUACACUCUGAACAAGUUCUAACUUCAACUUAUCAUUCUCUAUAUCCUGCUCAAGCAACAAACUUAUCAGAAUCAUGUUAUGGACACAUUUAAAGAAAGGCAGUGACGUUGAAGUGUCUGUACUCACAAUAACAACAUACCCAGUGUCUGUAGAUAUCACACUAAUAGAAGAUUGAAGAACUCUAGUGUAGGAAUGCUGAGUAAUGCACGCUUUCAUGCAGGCAAAGCAAUUACUUUAACAUAGAAAGAUUAACCUAGAGAAACUGAAUGGACAAAAUGAUUGUGUACCUAGGCUCCAUCAUGUACAGUGACUUAAUACAAAAUCUUGUCGUGGAAUAGAUAUGGAUGUCAAAGCAGAAUGUUACAGCACCAGGCUCGGUAUGUUUUUAUAGAAUAGAACAAAUGUAAAAGACUAAGCAUCACAGGUGAUUUAAAUUCCUAAGUUAAAAAAUCUUAAACAAUUCAUUCACAAGAAGCAUAUCAUCACGCAUCCACUUCAAGGCAUUUGCAAGUGCUACUAAUGAGCCCCUUUCUUUUGCUUUCUUCAGGUUUUAUAUAAAGGAAAAAUUUGAAAUAUUUCGAUAGGUCUUAAAGUUUGACUCUCAAUGCAUAAUUAGACUUUUGGGGCACCUAAGGCUUCACAUAAUUCCUCUGCUCUGCAUCGCUUACUACAGGAGAGACCAUCUUCUAAAAAUAAAAUAAGAAACAAAUAAAGAUGCCAUAUACGGCAAGAAUUUACACAAGAACCAGUCCAAAAGACAAAUACGAACCCAGUAAAUCCUGGGCUGAAGAAUAUAAAUCACCUGCAACUGGAUUUUCUUUUCAAGGUCAUCAAUAUACUUGUCUGAUAGAAGACCCUGUUCUGUUGAGGGGUAUGACUUCUCCACCUUCGCUGCAGCUAGCUGCUGCUCAAGAUUAUAAAUAGUUUCCUGCAGUUCCUUGUUCUCUAAACACUGGGGGGAAAAAAGAUGACAGACCCGUUAACCAUGGGCAUCAGCCACUGGCCGACCAACAACAAUAAGGUGACUAUCAUUUGAGUUACAACAAAGAUAAAUAAUGAUGUUUUUUCACCUUGUUCUGCAGCUCUUCCUGGAGAAUCCGAUUGUCUGCUGAUUUUAUCUGUAUUCGAAAGUAAAAUUCUUAACAACUUCAUAUGAUAGAUGUUCUGCACUUUGUGAUAGAAAAGGAAAUUCUUUAAAUUUGAUUUUAAAAUAAUUAAAUUGAUGCAAUCAAGGAAGACCUAAUUCGGUCACUACCUCAAGCUCAAAUCCCUUUUCGCUACAUUGUGUCAUCAGCUUCAUCAAAGUCUGACAAAAAUUAGAACUAUGAGACAAACACAAAUCACCAUAAAAGGGAAAACCAAUGAGGCUGAAAAAGGAAUAAUGUGAAACCACCUGCUGCAUUUCAACUAAGGAUGCACUGCUGAUUGAUACUUCACCACUUUCAACAAUGCGCUGUUCUAAGAUCCUCAUCUGCUCUCUCUUGCCUUCAAUGUCACGCUCCAAACUUUGAAUCUGUUGCAAGUUUAGGCAUACAGUGGGUAAAGAUCUUACUACAGGAGACAGCUAGGUACACAAUAACAGAAACAGUAAGUUGUUUUCAGGAAAAUCAAACAGCUGCAGUAGCCUAACAAUAAAAUCCUACAUACUCAUCAAGGAUUGACACGUCUAGGGACUUUGAGGAUGAAAAACCAGUGAAGACACCGAACUGAAUAUGUUUCACAAGUUAGUAAAUGAACCAACACCAUGCUUUCUUAUGAGGAAACAUCAAAUACAAUUUUAUUUGAAUUCAAACAAUAUAUAUCUAAAAUGUUUACAAAUUUUAAGAUUAUUGACAGCAAAUAUAGCUGCAGAAUAUUUAAUGAGAGACCCAAUAAAUGGCUUUCGCAUCCAUACAUGUUAUCAUCAUAUUAUUAUCCAUCAUGUGUACAAAGGAGUCAGUCCAACAACAACAAACCCAAUGUAAUCCCACAAGUGCAGUCUAGGGAAGGUAGUGUGUAUGAAAACCUUAUCACUACCUUUGUGGAGGUAAAGAGGUUGUUCCUGACAGACAUCAUAUUAUGUUAUUAUCAACAAUAUAUAUGAAGGAUUCAAUCCACAAAGACAAAAUAAAGCUUACUUCAAUGUGAGAUUUUGAAUUCUCAGGAUCAUUCACAGACUGUUCUGUCAUUCGUUUCAAUGUACUCGUACUAAAUGCAAUCUCUCCAGCAAGCAUCUUGACUUGCUCAACUAGGAGGUCCAUCUGAUCAGACAAUGAAACUCCUUCCUAUAUUAGACAAAUAAAAUAUUAAAAGUUGAAAAAUUACCAUUUGAUAUGUAAUGGAAAAGUAUGCAUUACAUUAAAAUAUAUAUAAAAAAAAAACAGACUUCGGAAGAAAAUCAAAUACCAAUAGAGAAGACCAGAUUAGAAAAAAAAGUAAUAACUUCUCAAUUGAGUCAAUCUUGAGAAAGGAUGCCCAAAUGUAAGUAUCCAAUAAAGUAUAAUAUAUAAAUAUCAAAAAUUCAAACUCCAUGCGAAGAUAAAGAUCUUAGCAAAUUAUCAAAGUAAACUUUAACUACAUGUGAAUUAAAAAAUAACAGCUUCAAAUAUUAACUACAGAUCUUUUGAUUUCUACAGCGGAUUAAGGGGUCAUAUGCAAUAAAUAGGAGGUGAAAUUAAGAACAAAUGAAGAAGUGUCUUCCUUUAGAAGGUCUAAAGAAGAAGAAAACAUACUAUGGGAAGCUUUGAACCAGUGACAAGGUCACCCCCCUGAGUUGAUUCAGUAAUCACACUGCCAGCCUGGGAGACAUCAUCGUUCCACUUGCUAGAAGAUCUACCGUGUUUGAAAUCAGAAGUCUCUGAUGAAGAAUCUCUUUGGUUCUCGCUAUCUAUGGGCUCUGAACCAUUCAAUUUCUGGUGAAAGAGUGACAAACAAAAAAGAUUAAUUUAGGAAAUAGAUUUUAUAUUUGAAGGUUGAAAACUUAAAAGAUCUAUCUAGAAAAAUGAUUCUAAAUCUUUAGUUCUCGAUGUCUAUGGGAAUACUGUUGUUGUUUUUAUGGCUCAGGGUAGAUGUCAGAAAAUUGCAUGCAAAUAGUAACAGAAAGCAAUAGAAACAACAAAAACUUAAUUUAGAUACUAGAAAGAUAGUGAGUCUGAAAACCCCUAUGGUAGAUGAUAUGAAGAGCAGUUGUAAUAAAUAAACAUUUCCAGCACUGCUUAAGGAGUAGGAAAAAGUCUUUCAAAAAUUAAAAAACAUCUGAUGUGCCAAAAAUCCAAAUUCAGAAAUGAUCACCUAGAACUCUAAUUGGCAAAGAAUGGAAAUAGAACUCAAGAUAAAUAGAGAGGGUCAGAGGGCGGUGUACAUCAUCUUCAGAAGCAAAUCGAUUCCCAGGAAUUGAAUUCUUUGAAGAAACAAGGAUCAGUUUAGUUAGCUUCUGUAUCCGGCUCAGUAGAGCAGCCUUGGCAUCCUCCUCCUCUUCCAAUCUUGACUGCAUCUUCACUUGUCCCUCUUCCAACUGUGAAAAGAUUGUUAAUAAUAACACAACACAAAACCAAUUACACCCUAUGAUCCAUUUUACAUUGCACUCUUUCCUUUUUGGUCUAUUCCAAGACAAUUGGCACCUUUUCAUAAUUGGAACUCAUUAAUUUAAAAUUCUUAUUUUCCCUUAAUGACAUACUAUUGUAAAAUUGACAUGACACUUUUAGACCACAAGACACAAAGGUAUUUGGGUAUGUUAAUUGUUUAAGCUUAUGUUUCAAAAGUCUUUCCUCUUUCAUAAACUCUGUGAUGAGACAAAACAGUGUCAUAUUAAGUUAACGGACAGAGUACAUCCAAAGGAAACAACUUAGAAACUUAGCACAGACAUCAUCAAACAUGGAAUUGUACGUUAUUUUUUUUCCCGAAAACCAGUUGUACGUGAUAUCAUCAAAUCAUUUGACUUGAAUCAUUACUUGUUGUUUCAAUGUCAUAAGUUCUUCAUGAUUGACUCCUACAAGCAUCCCCCUUCUUAGCUGAUCAAGCUCUUCCUUGAGACAACAUAUUUCUUUCUGAUAUUUCUUGAUCAGCGACUUCUCAUCAAUAAUCUGAAAGCAAGAUAAUCAGUAUUCAGCCUUCAAAAGUUCCAUAAAAAUGAAAUGGUUCAGAUAGGCAAACCUUGUUGCGAGAUGCAUAAAUCUCGACACGCUUAGCUCUGCUUGCAAACUUUAACGUGUUAUGUGUUUCUUCCAUAUUGCUGGAAGCAGGAGUAAUAGUGCAGAUCAGCUACAAUCAAGAAAGAAGCAGGAAAUUAGUCAUCUCUCUGAUCCACUUCAUUCAGAUCAAACAAAUGUCGUAUAAGAAACACCAAAGCCUAAGAGGCAGAGAUGCACAUCAAAUAGAAUAGGCUAGCAGUUUCAUAAGGUCAAUAGAAUGGAAAUGCACAAAAUGUGCUUAAUUGCACUCACAGAAACAUGUCCAUGCCCACUAAGUGACGAUUGCAGCAGGCGAGUAAGUUUAGAAUCUCUAUAUGGAACAUGAAAUGCCUUCCCUUCACUUAAUUUUCCAAUGACCUUAACACAUGAAAAAAGAAUUGACAUGUCAGAUCGAAAUAAACCCAGAAGCAAGAAUUCAUAUAAUCCUCAAUAAGCUAAACAGAGAACACAAGUAUUGAUUAAUAAUACCAGUGGGUAAGGAGAAGUCAUUAAGAAUACGGAUAACUGUCAUCAUGCAAUUUUUAUGGGGAACCUACAUAUACAAACUGUCAACAAUUAGUGGUUAAGUACUUACAGUUCCAAGAGUCAGGAGACUUUUGUUAAUGUAUGAUCCUUCUUUUCUUCGUAAUCCUGUAGUUUCAGUUUUAGAGCUCUCAGAUCCAGCUAGAUCAAUCAAGUUCUGUGGGACAAAGCAAAUUAAUAUUAGAUGCUAACAUUCAACAGUUAGUAUUUUCAAUGCUGAACAACAAGUGCCAGAAACCAUACAAGCUGUGAGAAGAUCACUCCAUCAUAUUCAUCGCCAUGGGCACUACUUUCAAUCAUCUGCAUAAUGAGUGAUGAAAGGGACAACAGUCAAACUUGACUAAUAAAUAAUAAUCACUACCCAUUCAAGGAAACACAACAAAGCCAUUCCAGCUAAAAUCCUCAAUUACUUGUUAGCUUUAUAAUGUCAUGGUUGUCUUCAGAAGACCUCUCAAACAUACUGAGAAACAGCAAUAGUAACUUCUCAAAAACUUGUGUUCGAACUCGAUAACUUGAAUACCAAAACAUUAAAACCUUCAGCUGACCAAAAAACUGAUGUUUAAUGCUGGAUGAGGGGUUUAAACUCACGAUAACUUAUGUGAACAAGAUAAGCAGAAUUUCAGAUUAAACAAAGAAAUGUAGCAGAGUGAACAUCCUUAUCCACUAACCAAGGUGAAUAUUGUAUGACUGCGGCUACUAAACAGAUUGAAAUUAUUUGAACCAACGUGACGGUGCUCUGCAACAUUAAGAAUGUAAUCAACAUCAGGAUCCACGAAAGCUUGCCUAUAUAAUCAGCAGGAUCCACAAAGCUUGCCUAUGAAAAAAUGUGACUUCCGGACAAAGAACAGAUUCAAAAAUUACCUUCCCCAGCAGCAAUAAACGAAAGAGCAUGCCCAGGUGACAAAACAACUUCCUCCUUCAUACCUUCAACAUAAGUACCCUGCAUAAUAGCAAGUAUAAAAAAAUGACGAACCAUAUAGCAGCAUUACAAUCAUGAACUAUGAUAGAAAAACAUGAAUAUCUAUUUUCUAGUAGAACAACUACAGGCUAAAAGCACCACCUGCAGUGCUGGUAGGUAAUGAUAGGUUUUGAUCUUCAGGUGACAAAAAGAACGCUAGAUUUUGUUUAUUUCUUAGUACAUCUCAGGAAUUAAAUAGGCAUUAAUAUGUUUGGUUAUAUUUUUCCUGAUAAAUUCAAGACUCGGGCAUGUGAUAACAUGUAGGAAACACUUUUUCUUAUCUUAUUAUUUACAAAAUAUACUAAAAUGGUUGUCCUAGCCCAUAGGAACACAGCUAUUCUUUGAUUCUUCUCAUAAAAACAAUAUACUUAUUCAUCAAACAAAAAUAUUGAAAGACAACUCAAAUUUCCAGAAGCAGCGAAAGUUGUAUUAUAUAACAACCUGGGUGUCUUCCCUAACACGUAAAUUCUGUCCCGUUGGAUCCAGCAAAUCGUUGAUAACCUGACACCAUGAACAAGAGAAGCAUUUUUAUGUUCUCUAUCUAAAAUCAAUACAAGAUUAUAACAUGAUGGGAUGACAAGUGCCUAAAGAGAGAUGUUCAUGAAGUUAGUGCAAGAAAUUAGGAAGUGCUGAAGCAACAAGCACAGGAGACUCUAAAUCUACCACAAAAUUUUCCACAUUGUUUAACAGACUCUAAGUUGCUCGAACUUUUCACUUUUGGUGCCGCACCCGUGUCGACACAACAUGGGUGUGGGUGUGGGAUUCGUGUCUGAUUUGGUCAACCAAUUUUGGGUACUUUGACCAAAAUCGAUGGGGAAAGACUCGACAGUUUUAAUGAUUUCUAUAAUCAAUAUAAAAGCUAAGAUGAAAUUGAAGAAAAUGAAAUACCUUUUAUAUAGAAAUUUCUCUGUCGCUCCUUUUCCUUUGAUCUCCUUCUAGGAUUCUCGCCAAGUUUUCCACAAAAUAUCUCAUAAUUGAGGUUUUAUAACACUAUUUUUAGAUAUUUUAGUUAUGUUUAAGCGAAUCCCGCACAUGGAUCCAUAUCCCUGAAUCUUAAAAAUUAAAAAUUAGAUCAUGAAAGAUCCAACCUCUAGAUCCUCGCCCGUAUCGGACAACCACACCCGAGUCCCAGCAACUUCUUUAACUUUAAAAGAAAUUGUUUAAUGUAGCAGCUAUGCGAAUCACAAUUCACAUGAGCUCAGAAUAUAAACAUAGAUACAGCCUUUGCAUCAAAGAUGCUUAUAUAUGCAAGAGCAUUUGGUAAACUAUAUAGUUGUUAAUCAUGCAUGCCUGUCCUCAUAUAUGAAACCAUCUGCUAUGUCCACUACUAACCUCAUUAUAGAUUUCAAGAUAUGAUACACGAAGUAAGAAUUCACGUCCAGGAGUCUGAAAGGCAGAUUACAAUAAUUAGAAACACUAAAAGAUAAUGGAGUAUCCUUUUUAAAAAAGAAAUGGGGCUAUAGAGCUCAAGAGUGUCAUAUUACAGAGGUGCAUUGUCAAAAUGAGGAUCAGUUAACCGUAAACUCACUUACAUCUUGAAUAAUGCUAAAAACAUCCUUUAUUGCGAGCGGAAUUAUACCUGGAGAAUUUUGAUCUCCCUGUGGAAACAAAGAUCCAUCAUGAAGACAGUACAAGUUCGAAAGUUCAGGGUCAUAGGAAGUAAGUAAAAUUCAAAUUGAAGACAAUUGAAAACCAACUUUAACCAUCAAAUUGACUAUAUAUUGAUAUAAAGAUAAAGAUAAAACAGUAUCCUUUAACUGGAAUUUUUUCAGUUGCUAGUAAUUAAAUACUUCUAAACUGUUCGGUGGAGAUGUAACAAAAGCAUCUGAAGCACUUCCCCGAUUCAAGGCAAAAAGAAGAUUGCACAAUGGAUAUAUUAACUUACAUGCAUAGUGUGUGUCUUUCCACUACUUGUAACACCAUAAGCAAAUACUGUGCCUGCAUACACAGCAGGCCUAGUGUCAAACUAGAAAAGCUAAUGUCAAUAGAAUUAUUUUUGCUUAUGCAACUUGCAAUGCAUUAAUAAUGAUAACAGUUCAGCUCAAUAUGAUAGCCCUAGGAUUGUUUCAAGAACUUAAUUCAGGUCACCAGAUCAGGAGGACAUAUAACGUUAUUAGCACCCAACUAAUGUCAAUUUAUGGGUCAAGCCAUUACAGUGAACAAAUAAAUUAUAACUGAUCAUGGGCCUUGGAACUCAUUAAGUAUGAAUAUUAUAUAAUGCCAUUGCAGUCUGUUUAGCCCCAAAAACGAAAUUGUUCUAUGUAGUGUUACAAGUGGCAGUAAGUAUGAUACCGUUUAUGCCCUCCAUUGCAGCUUUUACCACAGGUCGAGCAGCAACUUCAUAAACCUCUUGUGUACAUGUAUCAGGUCCAAAAACUCUGUCUAGCAAUCAUCCAAGCAAACACAUUCAUCAACUCUUAAUAUACUUCAUCCUCGAGAGGGAAUUUCAAGUAGUAAGCAACUCUAACCAAAAUAAAUAUCAAACUCUUCACUAAAAGAAUAUACAAACAAAAAAAAACACCAGCAGAAUCAGAAUCAGGACUAGAAUAGUACCAAAUGCAAAAGCUGUUCCAGCAUUAUACUCAUUCCGUACAAUUUUAUCACCAUCAGGAUACCACGCGAUUUCAUCGCCCUUGUUAUAUUCACGUUCGCUGCCAUCAGAAAUACCAAAAUUCCAAGCUCAAAUCCUAGCAUAAUAAACUAAAUUCCUCCAAUCCAACAUCAAAUGGACUGAAACCAAUUCAAGCAGAUCUAACAUUUACCUCAAUGGCCGAAACCUAACUGUGACUGAAAUACUCUCUCCCGCUCUAGACAUAUCAACUGGUUCAGCAAUCAACUCCUCUGUUGACUGAUAGCUCACCGGCGUCCGAUUUCCAUAACCUCGUGAAUACUCCGAAUUGCUCCGGUUCCGUCCAGGAGUCACGGAUUUGGAGCUCACACCAGUUCCGGAGCCCAACAUCGACGUUGCUGUGGACGAGUUGGAUCGAGGCAUGAGCCUACCGUUCAUGAAAGACGACGAUGACGAAGUAGACGAGUACGGACUCGAAGGCUUACGGUGGUGAAAUGGCGAAGUACUUCUCCCUCUAGACGACGAGCCCGACAUUGACCGACUCAUCAGCUCCACCAAAAAUCGGUAACACAAAAAUUUCUCUGCGUGUAGCUGUUUCUUCUUCAAGUGAAGUUCACACUUUCAGCAAAAUUGCUCAGGUGAGAAAAAACUUAAAUUCGUCAAUGGAGUGCAGAAGAACAGCAGAGAGAAAGGAAGAGGAAAGUUAUGAAAGGUGAAACGUGGGAGUUGGAAGGUGAGAACAGUGAGAAUCUACGGAGGAGUUUGAAUU